AUACAGGGCAAUUGGCAGAUCAAGCGUUGUGAAGCCACAGAUGAACGCUUGAUCUGCCAAUUGCCCUUUAUCCCCUG
rnacentral:snRNA from 1 species